rnacentral:piRNA from 1 species
UGUAAAACUAUACAGAUGAAAUGCACAC